CUUUCAGUCUGAUGUUUGCUCC
rnacentral:miRNA from 15 species